UACAGAGGGGGCAAGCGUUGUUCGGAAUUACUGGGCGUAAAGGGCGCGUAGGCGGCCUGCUAAGUCGAACGUGAAAUCCCUGGGCUCAACCCAGGAACUGCGUCCGAUACUGGUUGGCUUGAAUCCGGGAGAGGGAUGCGGAAUUCCAGGUGUAGCGGUGAAAUGCGUAGAUAUCUGGAGGAACACCGGUGGCGAAGGCGGCAUCCUGGACCGGCAUUGACGCUGAGGCGCGAAAGCGAGGGGAGCAAACAGG
rnacentral:rRNA from 1 species